UACGGAGGGUGCAAGCGUUAUCCGGAUUCACUGGGUUUAAAGGGUGCGUAGGCGGGCAGGUAAGUCAGUGGUGAAAUCUCCGGGCUUAACCCGGAACUGCCGUUGAUACUAUCUGUCUUGAAUAUCGUGGAGGUAAGCGGAAUAUGUCAUGUAGCGGUGAAAUGCUUAGAUAUGACAUAGAACACCCAUGCGAAGGCAGCUUACUACACGAUCAUUGACGCUGAGGCACGAAAGCGUGGGGAGCAAACAGG
rnacentral:rRNA from 1 species